rnacentral:rRNA from 1 species
AACGAACGCUGGCGGCAGGCCUAACACAUGCAAGUCGAGCGAGGACUUCGGUCCUAGCGGCGGACGGGUGAGUAACGCGUGGGAACGUGCCCUUUGCUUCGGAAUAGCCCUGGGAAACUGGGAGUAAUACCGGAUGAGCCCUUUGGGGGAAAGAUUUAUCGGCGAAGGAUCGGCCCGCGUUGGAUUAGGUAGUUGGUGGGGUAAUGGCCUACCAAGCCGACGAUCCAUAGCUGGUUUGAGAGGAUGAUCAGCCACACUGGGACUGAGACACGGCCCAGACUCCUACGGGAGGCAGGAGUGGGGAAUCUUAGACAAUGGGGGAAACCCUGAUCUAGCCAUGCCGCGUGAGCGAUGAAGGCCUUAGGGUUGUAAAGCUCUUUCAGCUGGGAAGAUAAUGACGGUACCAGCAGAAGAAGCCCCGGCUAACUCCGU